GGUGGCCAUUCCUUGGGUGGCCACAGGUGUCUCCAUGACCUCAUAAACUGUCCCCUUCAUUUCUGUCCUAAUUAAUCCCUGGCAGGACUCACUCAGGAGGACCUGCAAGCCAACCUUGUCCCAAAUUCCAGCAGGUGUCACUGUGGGCAACACUAUGGGAAAAUCCAGCAGGGAAAACCUCGGAAUCAAAGGAAAAACACCCAUCAGGGAAGUGAAGGACAACCACCAACCCAUCGGUCCCAACCUAUCUGCAACAAAGAAAAUGCCUGGAAAAGCAGAUUCCAUUGAUUCCUUGCCCCAGGGUUGCUGUAGAACCUCUGGAAACUGGGAACACUGAGUAGAUAUUGGGAAAUUAGGAACAAGGCUGGAUCAGGGAAGAGACAACUUGGAGCUCCUGAGUUCUCCCCUGUGACCUCUCUGCUGUUCCAGGUGCCAUGAAAAAAAAUCAACAUCCAUCCUGUGUGUCUCUAAUAGAGCCUGCAAAUCCACCAGGGCAAAUAAUAAAUUAUGGAUUUGCUUAAAUCCGUCCUUUUCA